UGGAGUGUAGCUCAGUGGUAGAGCACUUGCCUAGCAUGUGAGAGGCCCUGAGUUAAAUCCCUACCGCUGCAA
rnacentral:tRNA from 1 species